AAGAACUUCCAGACGGGAGGGGAUGGCAGGAGCAGGUGAAGACCCCGGCCUGGGCAAGGCCGCAGCUUUGCUGGGGCCGUGAGCCCCCAGGAGGAGGAGGAGUUCCGUCGCCUGGCUGCCCUCCCCAAUGUCUAUGAGGUCAUCUCCAAGAGCAUCGCCCCCUCCAUCUUUGGGGGCACGGACAUGAAGAAGGCCAUUGCCUGCCUGCUCUUUGGGGGCUCCCGAAAGAGGCUCCCUGAUGGACUUACUCGCCGAGGAGACAUCAACCUGCUGAUGCUAGGGGACCCUGGGACAGCCAAGUCCCAGCUUCUGAAGUUUGUGGAGAAGUGUUCUCCCAUUGGGGUAUACACGUCUGGGAAAGGCAGCAGCGCAGCUGGACUGACAGCCUCGGUGAUGAGGGACCCUUCGUCCCGGAAUUUCAUCAUGGAGGGCGGAGCCAUGGUCCUGGCCGAUGGUGGGGUCGUCUGUAUUGACGAGUUUGACAAGAUGCGAGAAGAUGACCGUGUGGCAAUCCACGAAGCCAUGGAGCAGCAGACCAUCUCUAUCGCCAAGGCUGGGAUCACCACCACCCUGAACUCCCGCUGCUC
rnacentral:sRNA from 1 species